AUUGAACGCUGGCGGCAUGCCUUACACAUGCAAGUCGAACGGUAACGCGGGGGCAACCUGGCGACGAGUGGCGAACGGGUGAGUAAUGCAUCGGAACGUGCCCAGUAGUGGGGGAUAGCCCGGCGAAAGCCGGAUUAAUACCGCAUACGACCUACGGGUGAAAGCGGGGGACCGCAAGGCCUCGCGCUAUUGGAGCGGCCGAUGUCAGAUUAGGUAGUUGGUGGGGUAAAGGCCUACCAAGCCUACGAUCUGUAGCUGGUCUGAGAGGACGACCAGCCACACUGGGACUGAGACACGGCCCAGACUCCUACGGGAGGCAGCAGUGGGGAAUUUUGGACAAUGGGGGCAACCCUGAUCCAGCCAUGCCGCGUGCGGGAAGAAGGCCUUCGGGUUGUAAACCGCUUUUGUCAGGGAAGAAAUCUUCUGAGCUAAUACCUCGGGGGGAUGACGGUACCUGGAGAAUAAGCACCGGCUAACUACGUGCCAGCAGCCGCGGUAAUACGUAGGGUGCAAGCGUUAAUCGGAAUUACUGGGCG
rnacentral:rRNA from 1 species